rnacentral:tRNA from 1 species
AGAAACUUAGGAUCACAA